AUUUCCUGGGCAAUGUCCUAUCCCCCAAAUCGAUGAGCAUGUAAAUUGCGUAAACUUUUAUGUUAUAGUUAUUGCUUUGUCAACUAAUAAAGUUCGCGUACCGACUACUUUUGCUAACAGAGAUGAAAGUUGCAUGGAUUUUAUUGCUGUCUUUAGUCCUUGUCUUCCUCUUGGAAGAUUGCGAUGCAUGGAGGCGUAGAAUAAGAAUAAGAGCCAGGCGUUUUACCAGAAAGAUAUUACCCAGAAUUCGAGGAAGACGUCUUCUACGCAAAAUAGUUCAUGCAGUAAAAAAAACCUUCAAAACAAUUGCAAAAGUAGCUAUAAUUUCCAGUCCAUCUCGGUUUGUAUCGUAAGUAGUAUACGCGAGAUUCAAAGGAAGAAGGCUGAUAGCAGGAUUACGUGGACAAACAAGUAUAGCUGAUAUCAUAUGCGGAGGUUCAUGGUUAAAUGACAGAUGCACGUGGUUCUGUGAUAACAUAUGUAAAGUAUUCGGGGCUAAUGAUACGCUCAACUGGCCUGGAGAAUUGGUCUUGUUACCAUGCAAAUUUUCAGAAUACGAUUAUACUCGCAGUGGAUAUUUUUAUCCUGCAGAUCUGGCUUAUCAUGUGGGAGAGCGUGGGCAAGAAUCUGACAACUUGAUGGUUUUCAAAUAUUUAGAUGAAAAUGGCGAUGGUAAAGUCUCCUCACAAGAGUUCAGCCAAACAAGUAAAUAUCUACUGACUGACCAAGAAUCUUGUAAAAGCACCAAGGAGGUUUGAAAAGUCUCAACGACAGACACUACUACAAUAAGUGAAUUUCGACAGAAUAUAAUUAACCAUCAUAAUGAUAAUCAACAUACAUUGAUAAUGACUGCGUUGCUUUUUAGUACUAGUAUUUUAUUUUUGUUGUAUGUGUAGUAAAUUUGCUGUGCAAUUGACCUAUUAAUCUGCAUCUUUUUUUCUUUUUCAUAUCACAUUCAAAUGUAAACAUGACAUCGACCAAAAAUAGUUUACAUUAAUUUUUACUUCAAAAAUCACCAAUUUUCAGGAUAUUUUCCUAAAUUAUCACAUUUCUAAUUUUAAUUGGUAUAAUUAAACUUCGUCAGCGCACCAAACUCUAUAUUCAGGUUUUGGAAGUCAAAUCUUCAUAGCAGUAAAAAGUAGAUAAUUUUUAUUUGAAUGUGCUAAAUUGAGGUUGCACCACUUUUUUGCAAACUUGAUCUUGUACAGUUUUGAUUUUUGUUAAGUAUAGAAUUAAGAUGCUUUUUAAGAUUCCCAAAAGAACAACUGUUGUUCAUUGAAACCAGGCAAUAAUAUUUAAUUUGGCCCUUUGGUUUUCAUUCUCUAAAACUGUUUUUGUUUUUGGUUGGUGUUGUACUCUGUUUACAUUUUAACAUUUACAUUUAAAAAGGAUUGAUUUUACUCUAGAACAAUUUAACAAUAAAUUAACCAAUUUUGAAAAGAAGUCCUUUUUUUUUGCCUGUAAAAAAAGUCAAGAAUCCGAUAUCCUUGUUAUCAUUCCAGUUGGGGAGUCAUCUAGGCAUCCAUAUGGGUUCAUGCGCGCAUUAAAAGUAUGGCGCCUGGGUUUAUCCUAGAAGUUUGGCACAAAAUUGGAAAUGGACUGUUGAUGAACAUGUAGAAUAUCAAAGGUACAAAACUUUUGAAAAACAUAUUUCUUCAAACAUUAAGAGUGUUGAAAAACACAAUAUGUACUGGAACCCCUCGGUUAAGGCCACAUUAACGUACUGAUGUACUAAUCUGAUGUUCAGUGGUUCAGUAUAUAGAUUAGACCGUUGGGUUUCCCGUUUGAAUGGUUUUACACUAGUAACGUUUUCGGGUUCUUUAUUGCUUGCUGUUCGGUUUGAACCAAGUCUCCGUUUUGAAGACUGUACCUUGACAUAUAUUUUACUUUUGUUAAGUGUGACUUUGAAGAGUUGUCUCAUUGGUACUCAUACCACAUCUUCCUAAAAUUACUCUAGAUCUAUAUACUGUAAUUGUAGUUACGAUUAUCACGAUAUAAUGAAAAUGAUAUACUUCGUCCUUAUAGUUAUACUGGUAUACUUCGUCCUUAAAGUUAUACUGGUAUACUUCGUCCUUAUAGUUAAACUGGUAUAUACUUCGUCCUUAUAGUUAUACUAGUAUAUCGUUUGUUAUUUUCCCCCUUUUAUUUGCUUGAUUAUACUUAUUUAUUUCGCUUG